AUGAGGUAGGGAAAGGCAGGGAGUGGAUGAGUAGAAACAAAAAAUUAGGAAUGAAGAAGGGGAGAAGGGAGGAGGAAGAAUGAUACAGUAAUGGGAGAGACAGAAAAGCAGAGAGACACUAAUAUUUUAGUCUAUAUUCUCCACCAUUACAGCAAACCACAGACAGAGUGGCUGAAACAACAGAAAUGUAUUUACUUCACUAUUGAAGGCUAGUAAAUGCAACAUCUUGGCACCAGUCACUUACAUUACAGGCAAAUGCUCCCUUCCUAGCUGGCAGAUGGUAGAUUCUAUCAGGUCCGAUAAAAAUGGCUCUGUUUCAUGUGAACUUAACGUCAGAGAGUUCGAGCCCACAAUUGCUCUUUUAAAGUUAAACAACAGAAUGUUGGGCCUAAGGUAUGACUACUGUGUGUCUUGCCUUAACAAGAUAUCUGCUCUAAAGUGUAGCUAAUGAAUGUCUCACCUUGACAACAGGAUAUUUGAUUUAGGGUAUGGUUAGUUGAUGUUUUGGAUAGUAAGAAGGUAAUUAUUCUUGCUUGUUCUUUGUAUUUUGAUAAGGAAGUCUUUUCCUCCCCCUUCUUUUUAUUAGGUUAUUUAAGAGUUUUGAAUAAUAAGCAAGGGUGAUCCUAGUACUCACUAGAUGCCCUCCAGACUCUAUCUCUUCUUUCUUGUCUAUUUUUUCCCUCAGUCUACAUUCCCCUUCUCAGGUAUGGACUGGACAAGUUGGCUGCUUCCAAGAGAUAGCCUCUCAACAUGGGUUACUACAAGAUUCCAGUUGCAUACUCAUGUGAUUAGAUAUCUGAAGACAGUGUUGGGAACAAGAACCAAGAGUGAGUCCAGCAGAGAAUAGAAUAGAAUUCUACAUAAUCAGCUCCAAUCUGGAGAAUCACAAUUAGAAUACAGAGGACCCCAACUCAAGACAUGGUGCCACUCACAUUCAGAAUGUUUUCUCUCCAUAGUUAAAAUAGUCCCUCAAAUAUGCCAGAACUGUGGUUCCUAGUUUAUUCAAAUCCAGUCAAGCUGACAAGUAUUCCAAGCUCAUUCCUUGCCAACUUGGCAUAAAAAUAUCAUGUUUGAUCCAUGUAAAUUACAACAAAGGAAUAUCUAUGUUUUGUGUUUUGUUUUCUUUAAAACUUAAAAUAAAAAAAGAAGCACUUUUUGA
rnacentral:lncRNA from 1 species